CGAACGCUGGCGGCGUGCCUAAUACAUGCAAGUCGCACGCUUCUUUCCUCCCGAGUGCUUGCACUCAAUUGGAAAGAGGAGUGGCGGACGGGUGAGUAACACGUGGGUAACCUACCCAUCAGAGGGGGAUAACACUUGGAAACAGGUGCUAAUACCGCAUAACAGUUUAUGCCGCAUGGCAUAAGAGUGAAAGGCGCUUUCGGGUGUCGCUGAUGGAUGGACCCGCGGUGCAUUAGCUAGUUGGUGAGGUAACGGCUCACCAAGGCCACGAUGCAUAGCCGACCUGAGAGGGUGAUCGGCCACACUGGGACUGAGACACGGCCCAGACUCCUACGGGAGGCAGCAGUAGGGAAUCUUCGGCAAUGGACGAAAGUCUGACCGAGCAACGCCGCGUGAGUGAAGAAGGUUUUCGGAUCGUAAAACUCUGUUGUUAGAGAAGAACAAGGACGUUAGUAACUGAACGUCCCCUGACGGUAUCUAACCAGAAAGCCACGGCUAACUACGUG
rnacentral:rRNA from 1 species